UAGGGAAUAUUGGACAAUGGGUGAGAGCCUGAUCCAGCCAUGCCGCGUGCAGGAAGAAGGCGUUAUGCGUUGUAAACUGCUUUUUGCCAGGGGAUAAAAAGACCGUGCGCGGUUAAUUGAAGGUACCUGGUGAAUAGGCCACGGCUAACUACGUGCCAGCAGCCGCGGUAAUACGUAGGUGGCAAGCGUUGUCCGGAUUUAUUGGGUUUAAAGGGUGCGUAGGUGGCCCUGUAAGUCAGUGGUGAAAUAUCUCAGCUUAACUGAGAGGGUGCCAUUGAUACUGCAGGGCUUGAGUACAGAUGAGGUAGGCGGAAUUGACGGUGUAGCGGUGAAAUGCAUAGAUAUCGUCAAGAACACCGAUAGCGAAGGCAGCUUACCAAGCUGUAACUGACACUGAGGCACGAAAGUGUGGGGAUCAAACAGGAUUAGAUACCCUCGUAGUCCCUGAGCGGGCUGGCAAGGCGCAU
rnacentral:rRNA from 1 species